GGGAGUGGAUCACCACUCGGAACCACUCGGAACGACGGAAAACCCCUGGUCGAAUCGAUCUACUGCCUUACAAGCAGGAUGUCGGCGGUUCGAAACCGUCCGCGCCCA
rnacentral:tRNA from 1 species